AUUGAGAAGAGAGCAGCAUCAUCGAAGUGAAGUCUUCUGGGAAGUGCUUCCUCAGAGUCAGGACUUAGGAACUGUUCCAGAGGUAGCCAACGUCUUACCUAGUGCUGGCAGCCAAACUUGGUAGUGUGAGAGUCAUGCAGGUGGUUGUGGUUUUGAAGACAUGAAGGGGUCAUGGAGAGCAGUGGAAGCUGUGUUGGCAAGGCUGUCCCUGAAGAAAGGCCCCCAGGAAAGGCUAUUGCUGAAAAUGCAUCCUAGCUGCAGUAAGAGACCCCAACAUUUUGGAGAUGCCAGUACCAUGCAAUGACCACCAAGAACAACAGCAGUGAUAGAAUGGAGACUACAAGAGCCUAGAAGACAAGCUGUGUGUACCGUAGAGGAGAGAAGAUCAUGAGUAGACCCAGACACUGGAUACUAGGUUAUUUACACUGUUGGAGUCUGGUUCUAGUUUUUUCAGAUUGUGACUGUGCCCUGGUUCUUCCCUCUUGAGAUUUCACACCACAAAUGAAGCCGGGAAAAGUUGGCUACGGUUUUUGGAAGGCCGGGGAAUGGAAGGGAAAGAACUUACUAGUGUACUCUCUGGAAAAGUCCCAGGCCAAAGUGUGUCUUCAUAGGGUGCUGGGCUUUGGAUCUAUGCCACGUUUUAGUAAAUGGAACAGAGGUAAAUGUCGAAUGUGGUGUUGGUCCACCGUGUGGAUGGUCCCUUAACAGCAGCCAGCGGUCCUCUUGGGAAAGCUUUCUGUUUGCGUUCUACACACUGUGCUGAACAAGCUGUCUGCUCGAAGUCUACUGGGCCUGGAAAGGAUGGUUUGAUGGGGCCAGAAAUCAAGGUCUUGCAGACGAACCCCUGCUGUUUCAAGUACCAUCUUGUUUAUUUCUACCACAGCAAGCUCUGCCUGGUGGGAUUUUCUGUGAUAACAGUGAUAGCAUUUAUGCUGUUAUGUACUUGACAUGUGGCUGUUGGAAUUAAAUGUUUAAUUUUAAUC